rnacentral:rRNA from 1 species
ACGAACGCUGGCGGCGGGCUUAACCCAUGCAAGUCGAAGGGAAAGGCCCGGCUUUGGUGGGGUGCUCGAGUGGCGAACGGGGGAUUAACACGUGAGUAACCUGCCCUUGACUUUGGGAUAACUUAAGGAAACUGGGGCGAAUACCGGAUAGGAGCUCCUGCUGCAUGGUGGGGGUUGGAAAGUUUCGGCGGUGGGGGAUGGACUCGCGGCUUAUCGGCUUGUUGGUGGGGUAGUGGCUUACCAAGGCUUUGACGGGUAGCCGGCCUGAGAGGGUGACCGGCCACAUUGGGACUGAGAUACGGCCCAGACUCCUACGGGAGGCAGCAGUGGGGAAUAUUGCACAAUGGGCGGAAGCCUGAUGCAGCAACGCCGCGUGCGGGAUGACGGCCUUCGGGUUGUAAACCGCUUUCGCCUGUGACGAAGCGUGAGUGACGGUAAUGGGUAAAGAAGCACCGGCUAACUACGUG